rnacentral:rRNA from 2 species
AGAGUUUGAUCCUGGCUCAGGACGAACGCUGGCGGCGUGCCUAAUACAUGCAAGUCGAGCGAAUUUGAUGGGAGCUUGCUCCCUGAUGAUUAGCGGCGGACGGGUGAGUAACACGUGGGUAACCUGCCUGUAAGACUGGGAUAACUCCGGGAAACCGGGGCUAAUACCGGAUAACUUUUUUCUUCGCAUGAAGGAAAAUUGAAAGAUGGCUUCGGCUAUCACUUACAGAUGGACCCGCGGCGCAUUAGCUAGUUGGUGAGGUAACGGCUCACCAAGGCGACGAUGCGUAGCCGACUUGAGAGGGUGAUCGGCCACACUGGGACUGAGACACGGCCCAGACUCCUACGGGAGGCAGCAGUAGGGAAUCUUCCGCAAUGGACGAAAGUCUGACGGAGCAACGCCGCGUGAGUGAUGAAGGUUUUCGGAUCGUAAAACUCUGUUGUUAGGGAAGAACAAGUAUCGUUCGAAUAGGGCGGUA